CCCAGAUUCAUAGACUCCAUACCUCACUGAUAUGGCAGAGACUACUGGAUGCCUACCCAAUAGCCUUGUUCCCUUAAUAGAAGAGCCUAGUUUUAUUUGAAGCAGCAAAGCAUCAAGCAAAAAGAUUAUAUUCCCAAGCCUCCCUUUCAACUAGAGUUGAUCAUGCAACCAAGUUCUGGACAGACAGUGAGUACUUUUGUGGGAGAAUUCCAUAAAGUCCUUUUAAAGCAACCUGAGUUAAUGAAGGUGGAUCAUUUGUUCCCUUCUUCUUUUUUUUCUUCCUGCUCCCUGCCGAUGAAAAACUAAAGCUCCAUCCACUAUCGUGGGCUAACAGUGAGCUUGAGUACAAAGCUGUGCAUUAGGAUGAAGAAGAUGAAAUAUAAUGGGAGCCUGGGCUCCUGAGCAUCUCAAGGCUGCCAUACCAACCCUGGCUUGCCUUCUUCUGAAAUUCUCAUAUAUAAGAAAGAAAGAAAUGAUUUUUAUAAAGCCACAUUAUUUGCAGGGCUUCUUUUUUAUGCAGCUAAGCCUAAUCCUAAAGGUUACAAUGAGAUGGCUUAAUUUGAGAAAUGAUGCAGAAAGAAGACACUAUCUGCUAUCAGACCUGGUUCCUUCCCUUGGCCCACAUGGUCAUAAGAAGGAAGGAAGGAAUAAUGAAUGAAACACAGUUCAUCAGAUUGGAAUGCCAUCAACUGCAUGACAUGCUAUAAUUUUAUGCAUCACCAACAAAGAAAAAAAUGUUGCCAAUUAAACUAUGACAUGUCAUUGAUUGUGAGAUGCAAAUCAAUUUCAUAAAUGCUAAAAUGUGAGGGGAAAAAAAGCCAACCUGUGAAAUAUGGUGUGCUGAGGAUUUAGCAAAGCACAGUUAGGAUUUAAAGUUCAUCAGAUCAAUGCAUCCUCCCAUCCCUAUCUUAAAGAACAGGACACCAACACCAAGGUCCAGCAAGGGGCAGUAAUUUGUCCUAUAAAAUUCAGGGAUAGAGACAAGAUGAGAAUCUUGACAGCAAAUUGAGAGCUCUUUAAUAGGUCCCAAUAGAUACCAAAUAUUUGUUUGUGUUACCUUGACCACUAGCAACACGUUUAUUUAAUCAUCCACCUGUUCCUGUUUUUCCCUUUAAAAUAUGCAGUGCUGAAUAGCAGAGGCAAAGGCCCUCACCCCUCCCACACACAAAUGGACUCAGCAGUCACAGGAGAUGAUGCAGACAGAUUUCCCAGUAAAUUCAUGCUCACACAGGGCAUACACCUGAGUCAGUGGCUCUGAAGGAGAUGAAGAACACCAGGUGGCUAUGGAGAACUGCAGAAAGACCAUGCUUCUGACAGUACUGUUGAUUCCGGAGGCAAGGAGUGAAGUAAGAAGGACACUUCAGCCAUCCAGGUAAAGAGAACAGCAGGUCCUGGACUAAAGCAGAAAAGACGGAGUGAGUAGGAAAGAUGGUCCAAUCAAACAUCAACGAAGCUUCAAAAACAUCAAGCUUCUGAAGUCAUUUUCCUGUUCUUGGUACUGUUUCCUCCUCUGUUCCCAAAUAUACCCUAUGCCCUCGCUCUCAACAUCCCUCAUUGCAAUUCAUCUUUUUUUAGACUAUGCAUAAAUAAGGUAUGAAUGACUAAUAACGGUGUAGGUUGCCAAGGACAGCUGCGUUCAUAUAGGGAAUCCAAGCCAUAAGCUAAAUGAUGUAGUUCUGAUGGCAGAAUUUCAAACAUCAACCUGGGGAUGAAGAGGUACUUGAGUCAUUAGGGCCUCCCAUUGCUAUAGAUAUCCUCAGCUAUCUUUCCUCCUCUAAGGAUGCUUGCAUGAAAAAUAAGCUAGUCUUUCCUAUUUUUCUCCAGCAAAAAAUUUUAAAUUUCAAUGUGCAUCUUUCUAUAUGUGUAUGUAUAUGUGUGUAUAGAGAAGGUCUAAAUGAGUGAAACUUUUGCACAAUAAAGCAAUAUAGGGAAAUAUGGUGGGUUACUUUUUAAAGUAUACAGUAGCAUGGUAGAACAGAAUGUCUAUGGGGCCUGCUCUAAUAAAUACAUAGAAUGGUUUAUAAUUAGCAGAAGCCUUGAAAAUGGGUCUUCUUCUGAUACUUAGAUAAAAAAGGAUGAGUUUAUGAAAAUGUUUUAAAAACUGGAAGCACUAUAGAUAUGUUUUCUUUAACAUGAUAUGACUAUUUGAAAUGGAUUUGUUCUUGGAGGGCAUUAAUUAUAUUGCAAUGAAGUUUUCACCACAAUCAGAACCAGGAUUAUCUUCAUUUUACAGAUGAUGAAACAAAGGCUCAAAAAAGUAGCCCAAGCCAUUGUUCUUCGCAAAAUUGUACAGUUAUCUCUCAAAAUGGGGGUCAGUGGGCAGAGCGUUGGGCUCCAAAACUAAAAAUGUCUUCCCUGUAAAUUAUCCUAGGGAAAGGGAGACAGAACUGAUAUCCAUUGAGCAUUUUCCCUGGUCCAGUGAAACUUUUAAGUAUCAUCUAAUAGAAUCCCCAGAAUAAACCUAGGAAGUAAGUGCCAUUAUUAUCCCCACUAUGCUGGUUCAGAGAGGGUAGGAUCCUGCCCAAGCUCACAGAGCAAGAAGGCAGCAGGACCAGAUCUCACACCUAGGUCUGGCAAACACCAAGGAUGUGGCUAGCUCUUACAAGUCCAGAGUUUUUCUAUUCCAUAGCUGUGAGUAUACAUUUGGUUUAUUUGGAAUAAUAGUGCCUCAUAGCUCCCCUGGGGAAAAGAGGACCUGGGGAUACUUUCAAUCUGGAUGGAUAUUGCCUUGCCAAGAAUUCAUUUAUGGAGAAAGCAAACAGUCUCCCUCUCUCGUAAACCUGCAUUUUGCCAAAUGAAUACAUAAUGAGGCCUUCAGAACAUUGAGACAUUAUUUUCCCUGCAAAUCCUGGACCAUUUAGAAGGAUAUCAGACCUUGCUUUGCUUGGCAGGAAAACUAUGUUAGUGAUUCAUUCCAAAGCAUAAAAGGACAAUACAGAAACAGUCACGGAAAAAGGUGUAAGAGCAGAGAAGAGAAGGCAAGGUCAGGGGUAGAGGGGAAGGAGGGGACAGAAGAAGGAGGAGACAUGAGGAAGGAGGAAGGAAGGAGGAGGCUGCCGUUGUGAGCACUGGGCACAGGAUGCUUUUGAAAUGCAGACACCAGGUCAGAUCUCAAUAUAGCAGCUGAUCCCAAGCUUCUACAAAAGGUACUGAAGUUAGCACUUCUGUCUGGUCAGAAAGGCAGCUGGAAGAUGGAGAUAAAAGAACGGCCACUCAUUCCACCCCACCCCCUACCUCCAAUCACACAUAACUUUGAAUGCAGGGGAGAGAAAAGGUGCUGGGCCCAAAAACAGGGGUGGGCCGGAAGGAGGGAGCAGCCUGCCAUCUGAUCAAAAACACUUUCAAGUUAAGAUUAAACUCUAGAGAUUGCAGGAGGCCAAUUUAAUGGAAAAUGUUCCCUGUCCUCCCUGUCCCCUUCCUUGGCUUCCCAUGGGAGGGGACUGGGUUGUGAUGUUGCUCAUCAGAGGAACUCCAGGGUACCAGAUCUUAUCCAAAUGAGCAGCUGGAAAUGACCAAAAUGAUAGGAAAAAAAAUAGUUUACAACAUGUUGAAAGAGAGACAAGGGUGGGAAAGAUAGAUUUUAAUUAUCCUGCAUUCUUCCUGUGGAAGGGCAGGACACCCAGGAACAUUUAAAGGCCAUUAGCUCUGAAAGCUGAAGCUGGCAAAGGGAAAAUCCACUGGCAAAGGGAAAAUCCACUGGAAAAUCACUUUUCCAGGCCUCAGUUUCUCCAUAUGGAAAAUAGAAAGGUCAGGUCACUAUAGAGAUUGCCCCACACUGAGCAAGUAUGCAGAGUGGUUAAGUCUAUGGGGUCUGCUCAAACUUCUCCUCUCCCACCUAUAAGCUGUGUGACCUUGACAAGUGUCUUAACCUUCCUGAGCCUCAGUUUCCUUUCUGUGAAGUGGCAGUCAUGAUCAAUUCUACCUGUCAGGAUUAUGGUGAGGAUUAAAUGAGCUAGUCCAUGGGAAGUGCAUAAAACAGUGGGUGCUCCACAACAAACAUGCAAUAUAAGCUCCCACUAUCUUUAUUACUAGAUAUUCAGAUGUUCUCUUGUCCUGCAAAAGAUGGCGAGAUGGAGAAGGUUGACCCUAAAACUAUGGAUUUGAGACCUACUUCCGCAAAUCACUUAGCUUAUUCCUAAGGCCUAGCUUUGUCAUUCAAAAUACAGGGCUUGUAAGGUGUGUGACUGCCAAGUGCUCUGUAAACAUGAGGUCAAUAUCAGUUGUCACCUCUCAUCAGUGGAAAUGAGGAGUAGCAUUCAGUGGGUAUGAAGUCUCAGUUAUACAAGAUUAAUAAGUUCUAGGGAUCUGCCAUACAAAAUAAUGCCUAGAGUCAAUAAUAGUGUAUUGCGCACCAAAAAUAUUUAAGAGGGUAGAUCCCAUGUUAAGUGCUCUUACUAUGCAUGAAACAAAAACAAAUGAACAGAAAAAAGAUGGCAUAAGGAAACUUCUGGAGGUGAUGGAUAUAUCUAUUGUCUUGAUCAUAGUGAUUGUUGUAUGGGUGUAUAAAUAUAUAUAUAUAUAUAUAUACUUAAAUUCAUCAAAUUAUAUGCAAGAAAUUUGUACAGUUUUACUUAUCAAUUAUAGUUCAAUAAAGAUGUUUUUUAACCAGUGAAGUUUUUCUACAAAGACAAUUCUAUAUUACAAAUAAAUUGCAUUUUAGCAGAAAAAGUAUAGUAAUACAGAAAAUUGUUAAGCCCCAUACCUCUUCGAAAAGCAUAAAUUGAAUUUUGCUUGGCCGUCAAUACUAUAUUACUAUGUUUAUAAAUAAAUAAAUGAAUAAAUAGAUAGAUAACAUUUCUGUUAGCUCUAAAGGACUUCCUACACUCUUAAAUUCAAGGAUGAUAUUCUGCACCUUUUAGAGCUGUGUGUACACACACUCCCAACUGACAAGCUUCUGCAUGUGGUUGAAUAUUGCCUCACAGUGUUCCAGAAGCAAGAAAGAUGCCAUGUCUCCAGCUGGUCAGCCUAGAAAUUGGAAGCAGAACCAAUUGUGGCUAACUAGAGAUCCUGCUGGGCCUCUGCACGUCAGCCUCCAACUUGCCUGGGAAGGCCCCAGGUCAUUAAUGGCCACAAACAGCAGGACAUUUUCUGCCUGUCUUCUUGCAGUGACCAGGACACAAGAUGCUUGACCAAUGAGAGAGGCCCAUUCAAAGCCAUUGCACCUCUAAGGAGGGGUGAGCUGCCAUCAGCCUUUUCUCCCAAUCUGCAGAAUUUUAUGACCUUUUCUCUGCUAAGAACAAAGUUCAUUGCCUCAAUUCCACCACUUGCUGUUGGAGCUGGUGGGAUGUAGAGUGGGGAGUUUCACAUUCUGACCCCACUGCUGACACCCCCUGUGGCAUCUUUGCAGCCGCAUUCCCUCCUCUGGGUGCUAUGGUCUGAAUGUUUGUACCCUCCCACACAAAUUCAUAUGUUGAAAUCCUAUCCCCCAAGGUGAUGGUAUUAGGUGGGGCUUUGAGGGAGGCCAUUAGAUCAGGAAGGGAGAUCCCUCAUGAAUGGGAUUAGUGCCCUUAUAAGAUAUACCCAAGGGAGCUCAUUCACCCUUCCACUAUGUGAAAUCACAGCUGGAAGGAGCCAUCUAUGAGCCAAAAAAAUGGACCCUCACUAGACACAGAAUCUAUCAAUACCUUGAUAUUGACUUCACAGCCUCCAGAGCUAUGAGACAUAAAUGACUGUUGCUUAUAAAUCACCAGUCUAUGUAUGGUAUUUUGUUAUAGCCACUCGAAUGGACUAAGACACUGGGCCUCAGUUUCCUUGUAGGGUAACUGGAGCCAAUGAUUCCUAAUAUAAUGGCUUAUAUCUGGAACAUAUGGUGGCCUAUGUCUGUAGUCCCAGCUCCAAAGUAAGCAUUUUACAAUGUGGUUGCUGGAUGCUCAGGAGCCCCCCAUGAUACCUGGCGUUCACUCCCUCAUGUGGUUCCCUCCCUUUGCAUGCAGGCAGGGCCUGUUACUUGCUUUUAGCCAACAGGACAAAGAUGAUGGGAUGUAAUUUCUGCGAUUUGUUCCAUGAGAUUGUAACAUCAGUCUUGCCAGAAGACUCUCCCCCUUGCUGCCUUUGAUAAAACAAGUGGCCAUGUUGGGAGGCCCGUGUGGCAAGACACCAGUCAGCAGCCAGCAAAAAACUGUCCUCUGUAUCACAGCUUCAAGGAACUAAAUCCUGCCAAAAUCAAGUAAGCUCACAACAACCCACAACUACUCAGUCAAGAAGCAAGACGAGAGGACAGCCCCAAUCAACACCUUGAUUUCAGCCUUCUGAGCCCCUACAGCAAAGGACCCAGAUAAGCCAUGCCUGAACUCCUGGCCCACAGAAACUGUGAAUUAAUAAAUGUCUGUUGCUUUAGGACACCAAAUUUAUCCUGAUACUGUUAUACAGCAAUAGAUAACUAAUACAAUAGGAUAAAAUGAUGAAUGCUACUGAGAA
rnacentral:lncRNA from 10 species